ACGUUGAAACACCAAUUCCCGUAUGAUCACUGAAGUUAAGUAAUGACGAGCCUGGUCAGUACCAAGAUGGUGACCGCUUGGGGACACCAGGUGCUGUAA